UACGUAGGGGGCAAGCGUUGUCCGGAUUUAUUGGGCGUAAAGAGCGUGUAGGCGGCCAUACAGGUCAGCUGUGAAAACUCGAGGCUCAACCUCGAGACGUCGGUUGAAACCGUAUGGCUAGAGUCCGGAAGAGGAGAGUGGAAUUCCCGGUGUAGGAGCGGUGAAAUGCGCAGAUAUCGGGAAGAACACCCGUGGCGAAGGCGGCUCUCUGGGACGGUACUGACGCUGAGACGCGAAAGCGUGGGGA
rnacentral:rRNA from 1 species